CCUACGGGCGGCAGCAGUGGGGAAUAUUGCACAAUGGGGGAAACCCUGAUGCAGCGACGCCGCGUGUGUGAAGAAGUCCUUCGUUAUGUAAAGCUCUAUCAGCAGGGAAGAAAAUGACGAUACCUGUGUACUAGGCCACGGCCAACUCCGUGCCAGCAGCCGCGGUAAUACGUAGGGGGCAAGCGUUAGCCGGAUUUACUGGGGGUAAAGGGAACGUAGACGGCAGAGCGAGUCUGGAGUGAAAGCCGGGGGCUUAACCCCCGGACUGCACCGGAAACUGUACGGCUGGAGUGCAGGAGAGGUGAGUGGAAUUCCUAGUGUAGCGGUGAAAUGCGUAGAUAUUAGGAGGAACACCAGUGGCGAAGGCGGCUUCCUGGACUGUAACUGACGUUGAGGCGCGAAAGCGUGGGGAGCAAACAGGAUUAGAUACCCGGGUAGUC
rnacentral:rRNA from 1 species